CAGUAGCCGCGGUAACACGGAGGGUGCAAGCGUUAAUCGGAAUUACUGGGCGUAAAGCGCACGCAGGCGGUCUGACAAGUCAGAUGUGAAAUCCCCGGGCUUAACCUGGGAACUGCAUUUGAAACUGUCAGGCUGGAGUCUUGUAGAGGGGGGUAGAAUUCCAGGUGUAGCGGUGAAAUGCGUAGAGAUCUGGAGGAAUACCGGUGGCGAAGGCGGCCCCCUGGACAAAGACUGACGCUCAGGUGCGAAAGCGUGGGGAGCAAACAGGAUUAGAUACCCGCGUAGUCCCUGUCUCUUAUAC
rnacentral:rRNA from 1 species